GGCCCCAUAGUUUAGUUGGUUAGAACGCCGCCCUGUCACGGCGGAGGUCAGGAGUUCAAGUCUCCUUGGGGUCG
rnacentral:tRNA from 1 species